rnacentral:rRNA from 1 species
GGAUUAGAUACCCUGGUAGUCCACGCCGUAAACGAUGGUUACUAGCUGUUCGGCAUUUAUGUUGAGUGGCUAAGCGAAAGUGAUAAGUAACCCACCUGGGGAGUACGUUCGCAAGAAUGAAACUCAAAGGAAUUGACGGGGGCCCGCACAAGCGGUGGAGCAUGUGGUUUAAUUCGAUGAUACGCGAGGAACCUUACCAGGGCUUAAAUGUAGUGGGACAGCUUUAGAGAUAGAGCCUUCUUCGGACUCAUUACAAGGUGCUGCAUGGUUGUCGUCAGCUCGUGCCG